CAGAGUCAAGCCAUCUCCCA
rnacentral:snRNA from 1 species